ensembl:lncRNA novel transcript
GGAAGACACCAGAGCUGUCCCUCUCUCGGCUUGCACUAAGGAGGAGGUCACGUGAGCACACAGUGAGAAGGCGGAGGACCAUCUGCAAGCAGGAAGAGAGCCCUCGCUAGAACCCCCCACGGUGGCAUCUGAUAGUGGACUUCUAGCUUCCAGAACUGAACUCAUAAAUGUCACAUCAGGCUGCCUCUUGGUGAAUUUUUAAUCAACGGGGAGAAUUUCAGCUACAAAUAGACCAAGAAUCAAGAGGCCCACUAUUGAUCGGUCAAAGUGGCACUUAUGAACCUGAGGUUGAAGCAGUUUGGAUAAAAGGAUUCUGGGCUUUCGAUGGCCCCAGAGACAUCUUUUUCCAUCAAGUCCAGGCUUGCUGAUCGGUACAGCUGAGAACAUGUUGAAUUUGAUGUGCCUGUGGAUAUUUGAGUCUGGAACAUUGAAGACAAGUUUGGUCUGGAGAUGUAGACUGGGGAUAUCUCAGCACACAGAUGAUAACUGAAAUGAUGGAGCGGAUGAUAUAAACUGGAGAGAGUCUGGUGUGGGAAGAGUCUUCCCUGAGGUGGCCGAAAGAUGUAAUUCUUACUCCAAAGACUGAAAUAGAGACAAGAGAAGCUGAAGUUACAGGGUUUUGUCAUUGGGAAGACAGUAGAGUGUGUCAUAUCCCAAGAGUGAAGCAAGGACAAACCAAAGAACAACUGGGAAGAUCUGGGAGAAAAAGGGAGAGGAGAGCCUGACGUUUCAAGAACUCAAGGUUCAGUACUAGGUCUUAGAGGAAGACUUCAUUUUAGCUUUGAUGCUCUCCGCUAGGCACAGAGAAACUUAAGCAGAAUGACAAGACCUGCUGUUUGAGUAACUCACGUUCUGACCAGAGAGACAGACAUGUCAGCAAGAGGUUACAAUACAGUGUGCUCAGAUUCUCCGGGACUUGGAGCACUUGUUCCAGAAAGGAAGGCCAGGGAAGUCUUCCAGGAGUAGAUGGCGCCUCUGCUGACCUGAAGGGUGAGGAAAAAGUGUCCAGUUGCAGAAGGUGCAACUGCCUAUAGAACAGCUGCCGCGGCCCACUGAAAGCUUCAAGCCGAGACCUGAGGUGCAUGAACCCUCCUUCUGAUAAGCUUCAGAGCAGCUGCACCCUCCAUGAUCUGAGACCAGCUGAAACGUGGGUCAGGCCCUUAGGUGACAGGUUAGCUGGAGUGACAGAAGUGGCAAGAAGACUGUGGACCACGUGAGAAAUGAUGCAACUGAGUCACAGAGAAGUUAAGUAAUCUGCCUGCCGACACUCGGGUCGAUGCCGCCUCAUUCCAUCACUCGGGCAAUGGAGCCAAAGGCCACGUUCACAACCACUAGGCUGUCCCAGCCCCUUGCUUCAAAGAUAGCCAGGCAGGAGUUAUUUUAUAGAAUGGAAGUAAUUUCUACGGGGCCAAGCAAUAAUAAGGAAAUUGGAAGUCAAGGACUAUCUUCCGAAUGGAGAAGAAGCUCCAUCAACCACAGAAGGAAAUUAUGAUCACUCCUGCCAUCCUGCUCCUUUGUGUAUCCAGGAUGAAGGGGAGAAUUGGAGUCUUGCACAAUGAAAGGACAACAUUGCUGCCAAAACAAUCCAUCGUGACUGUAGACAUAUUUUCCACCCUCAUCCUGCAGGUUUUCUGCCAGUUGUUGGCCCCUCACCAAUUUUGCUCCUGGGCAGUCUGAGGUGGAACAUAAUUUUGUAUAAAACAAAUUAUGCUCAACCUCACUUAUAAUCAGGGAAAUGUGAGUCAAAACCACAAUAAAAUAUCACCUCAUGC